rnacentral:rRNA from 1 species
GACGAACGCUGGCGGCGUGCUUAACACAUGCAAGUCAAGGGGGCUCGCAAGAGCAACCGGCGAACGGGUGCGUAACACGUGAGCAACCUGCCUUAGUGUGGGGGAUAGCCGGCCCAACGGCCGGGUAAUACCGCAUACGCUCACCGGGUGGCAUCACCUGGUGAAGAAACUUUCGAGGCACUAAGAGGGGCUCGCGGCCUAUCAGCUUGUUGGUGGGGUAAUGGCCUACCAAGGCACGACGGGUAGCUGGUCUGAGAGGAUGGCCAGCCACAUUGGGACUGAGAUACGGCCCAGACUCCUACGGGAGGCAGCAGUGGGG